UGGUUGUUUGGGGCUCUGAGCCUGAAGGGAGAGGUUAAGGAUGGAUGACAGCCGCUGUCAGACCCCAGAAAGCCGCUUCUCCAACUCCUCUGGGACGCGGCUGCAGCAAACUGCACUGCGGGUCAGCUGGCUGCAGGACUGACUGCUCCUUCCUGGGCUUCGAAACCACUUCAGAUGUAUGUCUCCUCUGGGCAUCCCCGAGCAAACUCCCACCUCCAGAGCCGCUUCGGCUGGUCCUUCCUCCAGAAGGGACCUCGGGAGCCAGGUGUGUCUGUGUCAAGGGGAGGGCAGCGGGAGUGGGGGGUACCAAGAACUGAGAGCACCUGGAAGGUCCCAGACUUCGGAUGUCACACCUGGAAUUAAUGACCCCCAGCUCUGUUACUUCCGGAUCUCCCCAUUUUGUCAUCGUAGAACGGCGGCACCUGGCACACGUGGGAUCCAAGUGUCGGCCCAUCUCCGGAUCUUUGGGAGACCAGCAGGAAAUGGCAGUUCCUAGAGGCUGUCAUCUGAUACACAUCGAGGAGAUGGCGGGGGCAGAAGCCGACCCUGGGUGAGCCUGGCAGGGAGGGCUGUGACCAGGCGUAUCCCUGGGCUCCCGGCAGCACACCGCACCCUGCCUAGAGGCUGGCACGCCUCGGCGCCCCCCAGUGGCCACAUUUGGGGAGAAGCCCGUUUCUCCCUGGACCUCCUGCGCAAGUUUGCUCAACCGACUGGCUUGGCUUCCGCAAACCUCAGCAAUGCUUCCAGCCACUAGGAGUGAAGAGUCUGGAGGACCCCCACCUCGUUGAGGGCGUCAGGGGAGGCUUCUGGGAGGAGGCGAUGUUUGUGCUGAGAGAAUGGUUUCAAGCCCACCUGUUGAAGGCAGUGUGUCCCUCUGUGAGUGGCUGAGGGUCCACCAUGGAUGGCCGGGCAUCUGGCUGUGGAUGCCCUGUGCUUGGAGGGUCGGGCAGAUGCUGUGCUGCAGGACUCAGCGUCCCAGGGAAGAAGGGUGACCCUGCUCUGAUUCCACUGCCCCCAGAAUGGUAGAAGCUUGCCCAUCGUUGGUGCCUUGGUAACUUGAGGUGAGUUGGGGGUGGGUGUAGAGGGCAGGGGGUAGGAGAACUUGUCCCUCACAACUCUCCCUGUCCCUCUUGCUUGCCCUGGGUCUGCUCCUCUCACACCCCCAGGCCAUCUGUCCGCAUGGGUCAGGUGGACACCUCAGAGGUGGGGGAGCUUGGGGAUGGAGCCACAUGGGUGGGGGAAGAAUCCUGACCCCAGGGGGGACUGGGAUGGAGGGGAGGAGUCUUCUGUGGAGCUGAAGAAGGUCCCUUCCCAGUACCGUUCCUGUGGAAUCCUCAAAAGAAUGUGGGUCUCCUUCUCUAUAUAUGUAUAAUGGAAUCACUUCGCUGUACACCUGAAACUAACACAACAUUGUAUAUCAGCUAUAUUUCAAUAAAAAUUUUUAAAAAAAGAACGUGGGUCUCAUGGGAACAGCAGGGGACCCCAAGCUGAGACCCUGCUGACCUCAUCACCUUUAACCUCAGAGAUGGAUGGAUGCCCUCAGCUCAGAUAGAGACCCCAUUCCUGAGCCAGGUGAACUGGUGGGGAGGGGUGGAGCUUGUCCCAGGCUGGGAGCAGGGUCUCUGGGCAUCAGGCCUGAAGGGAGGAGAUUGGGGCCAGGCCAGGCCCAGAGUGGUUGACAUGUUUUGCCUCUGUGUGUGUGCCAUGCCUGCAGAUGGACACACAGGUGGGUGGACACACAGGUGCACGCCUGCCUGUGUACACACACAUCUGGAUAAAUGGCACCUGGCCGAGGACCCCUGGCCAUCCAUGGUGGACCCUCAGCCAUGCACUUAUUGAGCAUCUACUGUGUGCCAGUCACUUUCCAAGCCCACCAUGUGGGUAAGCUCAUUGAUUGCGAUGAUUAUCUCCACUUUCCAGAUGGAAAAGGUGAGGCCCCAGGAGGACAAGAAACUUGCUUUAGAUCCCAGCUGCUGGGCAGAGGUGGAGUUGGGAUUUGAUCCCAGGCACCUGGGUCUGCUCUAGACAUUGGGGACACAGAGGGGACCCACCUUUGCCCUCCAGGGGAUGUCAUUGUAAUGUCAUUGUAAUGGCAAAGACAGACACUACACAAGUCAAUCAGUCAGUAACAAGAUGGGAGGUAGUGAUAAGUGCCCUGAAAGCAAGAAACAGAGAGUGAAUUGAGGAGGGGGUGUGGUCACUCAGCCUUGGGGUCAGAGGAGGCCUUUCUGAGGAGGUGACUUUGAGGAGAGACCUGAGGAGGUGAUGGAGGGAAGUGUGUGACAUCUGGGGGAAGAGUGUUCUAGGCAGAGGGAACAGCCUGUGCAAAGGCCCUGGGGCAGGACUGUGCCUGGUGUGUUGGAGGAACAGUGAGGAGGCCCGUGUGGCUGGAUCAUAGAGAGUGAG